rfam:Salmo salar isolate Sally breed double haploid chromosome ssa13, whole genome shotgun sequence.
GCUCAGUUGGUAGAGCAUGGUGUUUGCAACACCAGGGUUGUGGGUUCGAUUCCCAC